UUUCUGGCUCUCCACAAAGUAAACGGGCUUCCUCUGCCACGCAGCCUCGCCGCCUGUUCUGUGACUUUUCCUGGGGAGACACAGGCAAGUGUCUGUUUGCCUCCGACAGGGCACUGACGGCAGAACUAACAGAUGAUUCCUCUCAAGUCUCGUUGGCUUUAUUGGGGUUGCGUGGAGAAGUAGGGGGUGACUCAAAGGAGCCUGCCUCGGGAACGGCCCUGCCUACAAAUCAGACGGGUCUUUAGACGGCACUGCGGAAGGCUGAGGCAGAACGGCACCUCUGGAAAGUUAAGCAGCCGACUUCCAGUAUAAUCGCACAAGGUGCUGAGCUGACGGAUGCCACCGUAAUUAACUCCAGCCCGGUGACUAUGAAGGUGCCCUAGGGAAUGGCCUGUAUCACCCACCACGCUGGAGCUACCUACUGAGAAUAGCGAGAGCCAGAGACCACAUGCCCAGCAUGCUUCGCAACCCCCCACCCCCCACCCCCCGGUUUUGGGUGGCUGGCUGCAUUUGGAAUCUAGCUGGAAGUUCCUUACGUUUUUCCU